GCUUUUGGUUCAGUGGUAGAAUGCUCGCCUGCCACGCGUGUUCGAUUCCCGGCCGAUGCAUUUUUUUUUUUUUUUUUUUACAAUUUUUAAAACUCAUAUAUUAUAGUGGCGGGCGGGCCCGGGUUCGAUUCCCGGCCGAUGCA